rnacentral:lncRNA from 1 species
AUUUUAUUACAUAGUAACAGAAUACAUAUUCUUCUGUUUUAGCAUCACAUUAUAACAUAAUACAUAGUCAUCAUAGCUCAAUGAUGUCAAUGUUUCAUCAUUAAAUAUCUAAACUUCAUGGCCAACGAUCCCCCACAUCAGCUCAAGAACCAUUCUGAUCCAUUCAGCAAAACACACACACAUACAAUUCACACUUCAAACAUAGCAUACGCACAUCCUCACAACAUACAGACAAAAUAAAGGGAUAUUUUAGUAUACAAGAAAACAAUAACAUUGAGGACAGUUGUCGAAUAACAGAUUUAGUCUUUGUUUUAAUCCGGAAACAUAAGCAGACAUCUAUUGUACAUCGAGGAAGAAAAAAAAAAAACGAAAAAGUGUACCUUGGAAAGACGCAAGCUUUUAACAGGCUUCGAUGUACU